AAAGAAUGAAACAGGAAAAAAAACCCUCAUAAAAAAAAAAAGAGCAGAUGCUCUGCUAGGGUUCUUAAACCCAUUUGUGCGCCGCCACCACUAGGCCACCCCUUGGCCUCCGAUUGCGACGGAGAGGGGUCACCGCGACGGCACGGGCCCCGACGGCACCAGGUAUGGGUACUGUUGGGGAGUGCUCACGCUCGUGGAGGCGCAAAUCGCGCGGAGGGAGGAUUCUGGCCCGCUUUGUGCGGCGGCUGGAGUUGCUGGAGGCUGCCAUUAGGGUUUGGGGUAUGGGGUUGCUAGUUGGGCCAGGUUUAGGGUUAUUGGGCCUGUAUAUUUGAUUUUUUAGUGGGCCGGACAAUUUGGGCUUGUACACUACCGAUCAAAGUUUUAGGGCUUAUCCCAAAAAAAACACCAACAAAAGAACUUUUCUAUUUGUUUGAGUCGUUUUGUUUUAGGAAUAUUAUAAAAUAUAAUUAUAUUGAUUAACACAA